rnacentral:tRNA from 1 species
GGAGUUGUGGCUCAGUGGUAGAGUGCUUGCCUAGCAUGCAUGAGGCACUGGGUUCGAUCCCCAGCACCA